AUAAUAUUGUUUUAAAAUGCUUUUUAUUGUUUCAAGGCAUAGUGAGACAUAAUCAUAGUUCAAGAAGUCUCCAAACAUAUCAAGACUAACUGCUAAAUUUAAUUUUGUUGUUUUGUGUUGGAACUGAGAAAUAAAUUAAAAUACAGGUUUAAAAUUCUGCUACAAACCAUAUUUCAUAUUUCAGAGCCAGAGAAAUAUUACCUGUUUUAAUUACAGACAGGUCUUUUUACAGUGACUUGCCCAUCAGUUUUUUGAGAUUUUCCAAAAGAUAAUUAAUAUUUUUAUACGACUUCACCUACAUUACUGUUUAUGUUUUAGCUCUUAGCAAUUGGACUAGAUCCCAAUCCUGCAACUGAUACUGAAUUGGAAGAAAUAAAUGUAUGAAAUUAACUGCAGAAUACAAGUUCAGGUUAUUACCUUAGGAUGCACAUGAUAAAAAUUUGCUUUUGGCACAGUAAGCCCCAUGUGUACUGCUUUUGCUUUUUGUUUCUUUUUGUUAUUUAUGACAAAUUUUAGUUAUUUUUCCAUCUUUUAAAAUGAAACGAGACAACUUCUCAGGAACUUGAAUCCUGCAUCUGUGGGUUUUAGAAGCAUUUUAAAAGGUUUUUUUUAUUUUUAAGGUCCUUGCUGAAUCAUACUUCAAACUCUCAGCAUCUGGUAGCAUCAAAGUCUAGCUCAUUCCUAGCAAAAUUUCAUCUCCAACAAGAGCUGCUUGUAACUGAUCAGCAUUUUUCUAGUAUAUACACCAGAUAUUUCCUCAGCACACUGCCUGGAGAAGAAAAUGGGAAUUUAAAAAUGGAACCUUCCAUUUUAGAGAAUUGAUAUAGACCACACAGUCAACUUAGGUAAGUGUUCAAAGUACCCAUUCAUGUCAUGAUAUUAUAGAGCAGAAUGAACAAGGUGCCACUUGUGGAUGAAAGUUGCCCCCUACUGUCUGAUGUGACAUUUGCAUACUGAAUUGUUAUGCACAACUUUUGAUGUUAAUUUGUCUACUGUUUCUUUAAAG
rnacentral:lncRNA from 1 species